rnacentral:rRNA from 1 species
UACGGGGGGAGCAAGCGUUGUUCGGAUUUACUGGGCGUAAAGGGCGCGUAGGCGGCCACCGCAAGUCGACUGUGAAAUCUCUGGGCUUAACCCAGAACGGUCAGCCGAUACUGCGGGGCUAGAGUGCAGAAGGGGCAACUGGAAUUCUCGGUGUAGCGGUGAAAUGCGUAGAUAUCGAGAGGAACACCUGCGGCGAAGGCGGGUUGCUGGGCUGACACUGACGCUGAGGCGCGAAAGCUAGGGGAGCGAACAGG